UAUGCUGCGGCGCCCGGGGAGCAGUUCGGUGCCUUGCUCACGGGCACCUCAGUUGUGGCCGGCCCAAGACUCGAACCCACAACCUUCGGGUUACAAGUCAGACUCUCUAACCAUUAGGCCACAACUGCCCUCAUAAAAGUAAUUAGUUGGUCUUAGCUGGUAGACUAACACAUUGCUUUUUCAUCAACUUUCAAAAAUAUGGCCUGAAUACAUAGAACAAGGUGACUCCAAAAACCCUGGGAUGAACCUAAAAGUGAUAAAGUAAAACAGAAAGGCUAAUGUUAGAGCAGAAAAUAUUCAUCUUCAGAUGUUUCAUUAUGUGAUUGACAUUGCAGUAUAAUUAUUGCAGUAUGAAAAAUGACUUAAGUCUGCAUGCUGAACAACACUGCUUAGGUCUUAGAUAUACAGUACUGUGCAAAAGUCUUAGGCGUGCUAGUAUCACACCCCCCCCCCCCCCCCCCAGAGGUUUCAAGCCAGUUAAGUUUUUGCUUUACUGUAUUGUACCAGUAAGAAUUUUCGGUUUACAUUUUUAAACAUUAAUUUUGUCAUUAUUUGUAAUAAUCCAGUUAGAUUUUUGUAUGCACAAGGAGUCUGACAACAGCCGGCGCUACACACCUGAUCUCAUCAUCAUCAAAUCUGUCUAUUAAACUGAGACAAACUAAAUUCAGAAGAACUUAACUGGCUUAAAACCUCUUUUGGGGGGUAAAAAUACUAGCAUGCCUAAGACUUCUGGACAGUUCAGUAUGUGUUGACAACAUUAUUCUCUUCACAGAACCAAAGCAUUGAGGUGAGACGUGAAGCUAUUAUCCGGAGCCUCAUACUGUACCUUGGCGAAAAAGAAGAGGAACUUUUUGAAGAAUGCCUGGAGGACAGUCGCAGUGACACCAUGUAACACAUCCUUAAGAUUCUGGUGGUCUAUGGAGCUGGUGUAGAGGAUUCAGUGGAUGUAUCUAUUAUUCUUGAAGGCCGGGAGAUCCUAACAGGAUGUCACAAUGUGGCUAAAGCUUGUGCACUACUUAUGGGGUUGAUUUAUGCCCUCAAUCUUGCAUACCCCAAAGCCCUGCGCUAUACUUUUUAGGUGUUUCAAAAACUUUUUCUAGAACUGGAUGGGAUUAAGUUGUCCUCUAAAGUUCAAACUCUAAAGUCCAAGCUGCUGACUUAAAGUUUGUUUGUGAUGGCAAGUUCUGCACAUUAUUGGAUGCCAUUACAACACCCCAACUCAGUGUUCCAUCAUGCAUGUUCUGGUGAACCCUUUUCAUAAAUAAUUAUUUUGGUUGUUCUGUUGUUUUGAAAUUAUUUCCUACACUUUGGUACAUAAUUUGUUCUUUUGUCAUUUGUACUAAAUUGACCUUUAGUAGCGUUUUCAGUUUUAUGCCUUAUAACCACCUGGUCUUACUGUCUUUUUUUUUUCCCGCAAACUUUUAACACCAAGAUAGACCAGACUUUAGAAGCAUCAAGGUGUUUAUACUGUGUGUUUUGAAUUUACUUUAUUCAAGGCAAAUAGUGGUGGGAAUUUGUUUUGUUAAAGUUAUAAUUUUUUGCCAGUUUUCAUUUACUUUUAACUAGAGCAUUUAACAUAUUUGAUAAACAUCUUUAACAUCUGUUUUAUGCUAUAUAUUUUGAUACCAUUGGGGAAAAAUAAAAAAUUAAAUUGUA